GAGAGCACAAUACGAUGAAAGUUGUGAGUUGUGUUCGGGGGGGGGAAGUUGUUGUCUAUCAUUGGCCUCUAUGGUAGAAUCAAUAAGGGAGGCCUGAGAGAUGGUGGUUUACCCUGU
rnacentral:ncRNA from 1 species